rnacentral:rRNA from 1 species
GCCAGACUCCUACGGGAGGCAGCAGUGGGGAAUAUUGCACAAUGGGGGAAACCCUGAUGCAGCAACGCCGCGUGAGUGAAGAAGUAUUUCGGUAUGUAAAGCUCUAUCAGCAGGGAAGAAAAUGACGGUACCUGAAGAAGAAGCCCCGGCUAACUACGUGCCAGCAGCCGCGGUAAUACGUAGGGGGCAAGCGUUAUCCGGAUUUACUGGGUGUAAAGGGGGCGCAGACGGCAGCGCAAGCCAGGAGUGAAAGCCCGGGGCCCAACCCCGGGACUGCUCUUGGAACUGCGCGGCUGGAGUGCAGGAGGGGCAGGCGGAAUUCCUGGUGUAGCGGUGAAAUGCGUAGAUAUCAGGAGGAACACCGGUGGCGAAGGCGGCCUGCUGGACUGCGACUGACGUUGAGGCCCGAAAGCGUGGGGAGCAAACAGGAUUAGAUACCCUCGUAAU